UGUAGAGAAGAUCAGGGAUGGGGUGGCUGUGGUGAUGAAGCUGGACCUGCAGUACAUCCACCUGAAGUUUCCGGGGAUACUGAUCAUCUUCUCCUCCACCGCCGCCUGCAGGCGCCAAUGAAGGACUGUAAAAAAAAAAAAAAAAAACACUAUCAGGGGCAAUAAAGUUGCUGUAACUAACUACAGUAUACAUAAGUGUAAGAGGAGCAUGCGAAUUCCAUGUGGCUCAUGUCCAGUUUGUCAAAAAACGUUUCCAAGUAAAGAGGUUUCACCUGCAGAUUUCCUACACUGAUGACGCGUCUCCUGGGCGGGGCACAGAGGGGCGGAGAGAGGAAGCCGGAAGACAAACUUAAACCAAGUCUGACCGUUUGCUUCUGUUUGCCAGUACUGCGAGAAAGCGUCGUUACCGGAGAGGCCUGGAUGCUAAAACAAACUCUGGAGCUGUUUUUUUGGUCGAACAUGAGUGAGACUGGACGCUGAACACACUCAAGGCGCGAAGGUGUCGUGCUUUACUGGUUCAGCUGCUGCAGCCUGGACAGAAACACCAGCUCUCACCUCACAAACCAAACAGGUGUCACCACUUCGUCCAUCAUCACAGAGAGUCUUCGUACACUAAAGAAGUUCUUUGAGACCAGGACAGAGGUAAUGCAGGAUUCAAACUUCAACCAUUAAAUCACAGAGAGAAGAGACAGACAUGAAGACAUUUCAAGGUCUUCAGCUGCUGUUUUCUCCUCCUGCAGAGACAAGAAUACGUGUUAAUCACAGGAACUGAUCAGUAAAGCUAUUAUUCCUAUUAUCCCUAAAAUGACCUUAUUCAUUGUUGACACCUAUUUACAGUGACUUAAACUAAACUUUUUACAAUUCAUUCAGUAUCAUGUUAGGAUGUUUUUCAAAUUAUCACAGUCACAUUAAUAACUGGAAAUAGUUCUCAAACACUUGAUUCAAUUUUAUUUGUAUAGCGCCAAAUCACAACAAAAGUAAUCUCAAGGCACUUUUCAUAAAGAGCAGGUCUAGACCAUAGUCUUUUUAAAAUAUGGGAUUUAUAGAGACAGACCCAACAAAUCCCACCCUGAGUAAGAACCUAUUGUAAUUACUUCAUAGUUAUCUCUCAAAUUUCACAGAGAUAGAUAAACAUGAAAAUAAUUUGAACUGUACUGUUGCUUAAAUUAUUGUUAUUUAGUGAUUAAUUAUUUCUCAAGGUUAAUAAGGUUUUUUGUUAAAACAACUUUUACUUAAUAAACUGCUGUUUUUUUUUUUUUUACAACCUAUGCUAUUGCAUUUUCUUGUGACAUCUUUUAAUGACAGAAUACAGUGACAUUUUCACCGCACUUUAUAUUAUACUUUUUUAAAAUGUUAUUUUAAUAAUCUUAUGCCUUAGAAUACUAUAACUCUUUUAUGCCUUAUUAUAUUAUGACAUUCAACUGAAGACAAAGGAACUUUGUUUUCCAUAAACGCACACAUAUUUAACACACUCACACCUCUACACAGUGUUUGUGGGUUUAGUUAAAUUUUGUUUGUCAUUUCACCAAGAGUGCAAUAUCAGUAUUCAAAUCCAAUCUAUUACUGUGUACAUAGUCCUGUUCUUACUAUUCAUAUUGUUAUAUAUUAUGAUGUUUUAUAUCUUGUCUUGUAUAUACGACACCCUUUACUGCUAAUGCAACACUGAAUUUCCCUGCUGUGGGACUGACUUACUCAAAUAAAUACUUCUGAACACUGAA